GGGUUGUGAGGUUAAGCGACUAAGCGUACACGGUGGAUGCCCUGGCAGUCAGAGGCGAUGAAGGACGUGCUAAUCUGCGAAAAGCGCCGGCGAGGUGAUAUGAACCCUUGACCCGGCGAUGUCCGAAUGGGGAAACCCAGUGCAAUUCGUUGCACUAUCGUUAACUGAAUACAUAGGUUAACGAGGCGAACCGGGGGAACUGAAACAUCUAAGUACCCCGAGGAAAAGAAAUCAACCGAGAUUCCCCCAGUAGCGGCGAGCGAACGGGGAGCAGCCCAGAGUCUGAAUCAGCUUGUGUGUUAGUGGAAGCGUCUGGAAAGUCGCACGGUACAGGGUGAAAGUCCCGUACACGAAAAUGCACAGGUUGUGAACUCGAAGAGUAGGGCGGGACACGUGGUAUCCUGUCUGAAUAUGGGGGGACCAUCCUCCAAGGCUAAAUACUCCUGACUGACCGAUAGUGAACCAGUACCGUGAGGGAAAGGCGAAAAGAACCCCGGCGAGGGGAGUGAAAAAGAACCUGAAACCGUGUACGUACAAGCAGUGGGAGCACCUUCGGGUGUGACUGCGUACCUUUUGUAUAAUGGGUCAGCGACUUAUAUUCUGUAGCAAGGUUAACCGUAUAGGGGAGCCGAAGGGAAACCGAGUCUUAACUGGGCGUUAAGUUGCAGGGUAUAGACCCGAAACCCGGUGAUCUAGCCAUGGGCAGGUUGAAGGUUGGGUAACACUAACUGGAGGACCGAACCGACUAAUGUUGAAAAAUUAGCGGAUGACUUGUGGCUGGGGGUGAAAGGCCAAUCAAACCGGGAGAUAGCUGGUUCUCCCCGAAAGCUAUUUAGGUAGCGCCUCGUGAACUCAUCUUCGGGGGUAGAGCACUGUUUCGGCUAGGGGGCCAUCCCGGCUUACCAACCCGAUGCAAACUACGAAUACCGAAGAAUGUUAUCACGGGAGACACACGGCGGGUGCUAACGUCCGUCGUGAAGAGGGAAACAACCCAGACCGCCAGCUAAGGUCCCAAAGUCAUGGUUAAGUGGGAAACGAUGUGGGAAGGCCCAGACAGCCAGGAUGUUGGCUUAGAAGCAGCCAUCAUUUAAAGAAAGCGUAAUAGCUCACUGGUCGAGUCGGCCUGCGCGGAAGAUGUAACGGGGCUAAACCAUGCACCGAAGCUGCGGCAGCGACACUAUGUGUUGUUGGGUAGGGGAGCGUUCUGUAAGCCGUUGAAGGUGGCCUGUGAGGGUUGCUGGAGGUAUCAGAAGUGCGAAUGCUGACAUAAGUAACGAUAAAGCGGGUGAAAAGCCCGCUCGCCGGAAGACCAAGGGUUCCUGUCCAACGUUAAUCGGGGCAGGGUGAGUCGACCCCUAAGGCGAGGCCGAAAGGCGUAGUCGAUGGGAAACAGGUUAAUAUUCCUGUACUUGGUGUUACUGCGAAGGGGGGACGGAGAAGGCUAUGUUAGCCGGGCGACGGUUGUCCCGGUUUAAGCAUGUAGGCGGAGGUUCCAGGUAAAUCCGGUACCUUUUUAACGCUGAGGUGUGAUGACGAGGCACUACGGUGCUGAAGUAACAAAUGCCCUGCUUCCAGGAAAAGCCUCUAAGCAUCAGGUAACACGAAAUCGUACCCCAAACCGACACAGGUGGUCAGGUAGAGAAUACCAAGGCGCUUGAGAGAACUCGGGUGAAGGAACUAGGCAAAAUGGUGCCGUAACUUCGGGAGAAGGCACGCUGAUAUGUAGGUGAAGCCCCUGCGGGUGGAGCUGAAAUCAGUCGAAGAUACCAGCUGGCUGCAACUGUUUAUUAAAAACACAGCACUGUGCAAACACGAAAGUGGACGUAUACGGUGUGACGCCUGCCCGGUGCCGGAAGGUUAAUUGAUGGGGUUAGCGGUAACGCGAAGCUCUUGAUCGAAGCCCCGGUAAACGGCGGCCGUAACUAUAACGGUCCUAAGGUAGCGAAAUUCCUUGUCGGGUAAGUUCCGACCUGCACGAAUGGCGUAAUGAUGGCCAGGCUGUCUCCACCCGAGACUCAGUGAAAUUGAACUCGCUGUGAAGAUGCAGUGUACCCGCGGCAAGACGGAAAGACCCCGUGAACCUUUACUAUAGCUUGACACUGAACACUGGUCCUUGAUGUGUAGGAUAGGUGGGAGGCUUUGAAGCGUGGACGCCAGUCUGCGUGGAGCCAACCUUGAAAUACCACCCUUUAAUGGCUGGUGUUCUAACGUAGACCCGUGAUCCGGGUUGCGGACAGUGUCUGGUGGGUAGUUUGACUGGGGCGGUCUCCUCCCAAAGAGUAACGGAGGAGCACGAAGGUUAGCUAAUCCUGGUCGGACAUCAGGAGGUUAGUGCAAUGGCAUAAGCUAGCUUGACUGCGAGAGUGACGGCUCGAGCAGGUGCGAAAGCAGGUCAUAGUGAUCCGGUGGUUCUGAAUGGAAGGGCCAUCGCUCAACGGAUAAAAGGUACUCCGGGGAUAACAGGCUGAUACCGCCCAAGAGUUCAUAUCGACGGCGGUGUUUGGCACCUCGAUGUCGGCUCAUCACAUCCUGGGGCUGAAGUAGGUCCCAAGGGUAUGGCUGUUCGCCAUUUAAAGUGGUACGCGAGCUGGGUUUAGAACGUCGUGAGACAGUUCGGUCCCUAUCUGCCGUGGGCGCUGGAGAAUUGAGGGGGGCUGCUCCUAGUACGAGAGGACCGGAGUGGACGCAUCACUGGUGUUCGGGUUGUCAUGCCAAUGGCACUGCCCGGUAGCUAAAUGCGGAAGAGAUAAGUGCUGAAAGCAUCUAAGCACGAAACUUGCCCCGAGAUGAGUUCUCCCUGAGACUUAAAGUCUCCUGAAGGAACGUUGAAGACGACGACGUUGAUAGGUCGGGUGUGUAAGCGCAGCGAUGCGUUGAGCUAACCGAUACUAAUGAACCGUGAGGCUUAACCUUACAACGCCGAAGCUGUU
rnacentral:rRNA from 1 species